CCCUGGCUCAAGGAGCCAUGAAUUGUGGUGAAGUCAACCAAAUUGGCACCCUGCAUUCCUUACUUGAAGGGUCCAGGCGGUGGUACUGUUCCUUCAGCAUGCUGCAGUGGGAUCAAAGCCCUCAACGCCGAAGCCCAAACAACACCAGACCGCCAAGCAGCUUGCAACUGCCUCAAAAGUGCGGCUAACAGCAUAAGAGGCAUCGACUUAAACCUUGCAAGUGGACUCCCAGCCAAGUGCGGUGUCAGCAUCCCUUACCAGAUCAGCCCCAGCACCGACUGCAAAAGCGUCACGUGAAAGUUUGGCCAUGGAAGUUCGUCAGCUAAUGAAAGCUACAUAAUAAAAAUGGAUGUUAAGAAUCCAUA